rnacentral:rRNA from 1 species
CGGACGGGUGAGUAAUGUCUGGGAAACUGCCCGAUGGAGGGGGAUAACUACUGGAAACGGUAGCUAAUACCGCAUAACGUCGCAAGACCAAAGAGGGGGACCUUCGGGCCUCUUGCCAUCGGAUGUGCCCAGAUGGGAUUAGCUAGUAGGUGAGGUAACGGCUUACCUAGGCGACGAUCCCUAGCUGGUCUGAGAGGAUGAUCAGCCACACUGGGACUGAGACACGGUCCAG